UGUUCUGGAAGUCUCUCCUCACUUUUCAGUAAGCAAAUUUGAACAUUUUAGUGGUUGUCUACAUAGUUUAGAUAACUGUUAAAACUGUGGGGCCUUGCCUAGUCUUCGGUAUAUUAUGGCUUUGUUUCUAUUUAACAACUGCUUACCGUUUUAAGCACUAUACUCCAUGUUUUUACAUGCUGUUGGAAGUGAGAUAACUUGGGAUAGGUAGUCUCAGAACUGGACAUCUGCCUUUCAUUCUUGCCCACUUUAAAGCUCUUUCUGUUCAGCAGCUAGAAUGAGUCUUAAAAAAAAGAAAGAAAAAGAGGGCUGUGGUGGUAUUGUGUUCCCCAAAAUAUUGUGUACCCUAAUAAAUUUAUCUGGGGUCAGAGAACAGACAGCCAAUAGAUACAAAGGCUAGAAAGUGGUGGCACACACACCUUUAAUCCUAGCACUCCAGAGGUAGAAAUCCCUCUGGAUCUCUGUGAGUUCAAGGCCACAUUGAAAAUGGCCAAGCAUGGUGACACAUGCCUUUAAUCCCAGAAAGCAGCCUUUAAUCCCAGGGAGUGAUGGUAGAAAGGAAAAAUAUAUAAGGCGUGAAGACCAGAAACAAGAAGCAUUUGGCUGGUUAAGCAUUUGGUUGGUUAAGCAUUUGGCUAGUUAAGCUUUUAGGUUUUGAGCAGCACAGUUCAGCUGAGAGCCAUUCGGAUAUGAGGACACAGAGGCUUCCAGUCUGAGGAAACAAGACCAGCCGAGAAGUUGGCAAGGAUUCCCCGAGCUCCGUCUAAUGCUUGAUUGUGGGUCUCUGCAUCUGCUCCCAUCAGUUGUUGAAUGAAGCUUCUCUGGUAAUAACUAUGCUAUCCUCUACAAGUAUAUCAGAGUAUCAUAAGGAAUCAUUUCAUUGACUUCCCCAUCCCCAGGAACUGUUUGACUCUAUUCUAGUUUUUUGGCUAUCCAGACCCUGGUUCCUGGCCCUCCAGACAGUGUCAAACAUGGGCGUUCUUUUGUGGUGUGGGUCUCAGGCUGGACUAGUCAUUGGUUUCACACUCCCACAUGUUCUGUGCCACCUUUACUCCAGCACAUCUUGCAGGUAGGAAAAAUUGUAGGUGGAAGGAUUUUGUGGCUGUGUUGGUAUGGUGGUAUUUUAUUUGUACUGAAAUGUGAUUUUUAAUCGUAUGUUAAUAAAUAAAGUUGCCCGGGGGUCAGAGCUAUUAGAGCCAUAGAAAAAGCUGGGCGGUGGUGGUGCAUGCCUUUAAUCCCAGAACUUGGUAGGCAGAGCUAGGUAGAUCUCUGUGUAUUCAAGGAUACAGCCAACAGACAGUGACGAGGCAGUCAUGUGGUUGGUUUUACAACCAAUGAGAAGACAGAACAGAAAGUCUAUAUAAAGACAAACAGACAGGAAGUAGGUCUCUUUCGGAGAGGUCUCUUGGCUGAAGAGGCUAGCUGCAGCAGGCGGGUAAGGCUCUUAGCUCUGAUCUCUUGGCUUUCUUCUUUGCAUUGGUUCUGUGUUUCUUAUUUUAAUAAGAUGGUUGGUUACAUCUACAUGUUGGUGUCCCAGUCCCUCCACUGGAAGCCUUGCCUAGUUACAGAAGAUGGCAGGUUCAGACUCUAACCCCCAUUACUAGGAGUUUUCACUCCUGUAGAUUCCUGGGAGUUCCCAUUGCACUAGGGUUCUGCCGCAUUCCCGAUAUGCCCCUCACUUCCAUGCAUUUCUCACAGUCCUCUCUCUCUGCACUCCCCCACCUGUUCCCUCCCGUUCCCAUCCCACCUUCCCCCAGUCUACCCACAAAAUCUAUUCCUUUCCCCCUUUCCAGGGAGAUCUAUUCACCUCCUAUUGUUUCCUCCUUGUUACCUAGCCUCUCUGGAGCUGUGGAUUGUAGCAUGGUUAUUUUUUACUUUACAGCUAAUAUCCACUUAUAAGUGACUACAUACCACGCUUAUCUUUCGGGGUCUGAGUUACCACACUCUGGAUGACUUUUCCUAGUUCCAUCCAUUUGCUUGCAAAUUUCAUGAUGUUAUUUCUUUUAACAGCAAAGUAAUUGAAAAAUGGAUAAUGAAAAUGAGGUACAGUUACACAAUGGUCAUGGAUAUUAUUUAUAACUGAGGUAUUCCUGUCCUAGGAAUACCAUCUCAGACUUCUAUCUAGCCUCCUCUUUCAGCAGGUCCCUCCUCAGCUAACAGUAUUUUCUUUUAUAAUGCAAUCUGAACUGUUUCUAAUUGAAUCCCUCUUUCUUCUUCUCAGACAUUUAUCACUGUGGGCCAUGUCUUCACAGACUCUUCAGGGCAGUGUCUCACAAACAGGAAGGGUUAUAGUUGCCUCCCACUCAUCUGUCUCUGCAUGUGGUGCUCACCAUUUACCUGUUGUGAUCUAAAGAUCUGGAAGGAAAAAAACUCCAUGGAUGUGAUUCCCCCUCUUCAUGGCAAUGUCUCAUCUCCCUCUGCAGCUGCUGUCCUCAGCCCUGCCUCCUGUCAUGGCCUGAAUAUGAAGAAACACAGGAGGAAGAGGUGUUUUCAUGGUACUGGAGUGAAUUCCACAAUUUAGGCCAUUAGUCACAAAAAAAUGUGGCUGAUCUAUGGGAAGAUACGAUGCAUUACAUUGAUGCCUAACAUUCUUAAGUAAUGUGAAAUCCCCUUGCUGAUAAUUGUGGAACCCAGUGCCCCUCUUUGUUCCUUGGAAAGAGAUAAGACACCAGCUGGUGGACUGAUAGCAAUAAAGAACUGAAUUAGAGGAAGUGGAGAUUGUCAUUAAGACAUACAAGUGGAUGAAACUGUGAAUGGUGUUAUCCUAACAGGAAAACUUGAGGGAGCCUUUUUCUAUUCUACUGUCUAUACAGAGAUGAUGCUACGCACGAGGAAAG